UGCCUACGGGACGCAGCAGUGGGGGAUAUUGCACAAUGGGGGAAACCCUGAUGCAGCGACGCCGCGUGAGCGAUGAAGUAUUUCGGUAUGUAAAGCUCUAUCAGCAGGGAAGAAAAUGACGGUACCUGACUAAGAAGCCCCGGCUAACUACGUGCCAGCAGCCGCGGUAAUACGUAGGGGGCAAGCGUUAUCCGGAUUUACUGGGUGGAAAGGGAGCGUAGACGGCAGUGCAAGUCUGAAGUGAAAGGCAAGGACUCAACCUUUGGACUGCUUUGGAAACUGUGCUGCUAGAGUUGCGGCGAGGC
rnacentral:rRNA from 1 species